UAAGAAGCGAAGAUAGGAAUGAGUAGUAACUGUCUCCCUGUUUCAGAAAGCUGGUGGCCGCUGCAAACCAGUACACAGACGGAUUAUGAAGUACACCCUGGAGCUUUCUUUGUGAACAUACAGUAGCAAAGACCGGUUGAAAAGCCGUUAACCGAUAUGAGUGGAAGGAUUUUUCCUUCAACAAGGGUGGUACCGCGAUAAUCACGUCCCUUAU
rnacentral:ncRNA from 1 species